GGAAAUAUAGCUCAGUGGUAGAACGUUUGGCUGUAAUUCAUAAGGCCCUAAGUUCAACUUAGUGCUG
rnacentral:tRNA from 1 species